rnacentral:rRNA from 1 species
UACGUAGGGGGCUAGCGUUGUCCGGAUUCAUUGGCGUAAAGCGCGUGUAGGCGGCCAGGUAGGUCCGAUGUGAAAACUGGAGGCUCAACCUCCAGCUGUCAUUGGAAACCAUCUGGCUAGAGUCCGGAAGAGGAGAGUAGAUUCCGGUGUAGCGGUGAAAUGCGCAGAUAUCAGGAAGAACACCGAUGGCGAAGGCAGCUCUCUGGGACGGUACU